CAGCAGCCGCGGUAAUACGGGGGGGGGAAAGUGUUAUUCGGAAUGACUGGGCGUAAAGGGCACGUAGGCGGUGAAAAGGGUGGAAAGUGAAAGUCGCCAAAACACUGGCGGGGUGCUUUCUUGACCAUUUCACUUGAGUGAGAUAGGGGAGAGUGGAAUUUCGUGUGGAGGGAUCAAAUCCUAAGAUAUACGAAGGAAUGCCAACCGCGAAGGCAGCUCUCUGGGUCCCCACUGACGCUGGGGUGCGAAAGCAUGGGGAGCAAACAGGAUCAGAUACCCGCGUAGUCCCUGUCUCUUAUAC
rnacentral:rRNA from 1 species